UAAGCUGUUUUUCUAAUAUCUUCCUUUCCCUCAUGUUCUUCCAGGUUCAUGAAAACCCAUAACAUGGUACAUUGCAUUGGAAACUUGGCUUGCUCAGUUCCCAGUGACCAACUCUGAACUCUCCUUUCUGGAAACGUGGUGAAAACUUCCUAACAAAAAGGAAAAAAGGAGUCUUCUAACUUCAGGCUGUGUCUCCUUUCCCUCAUCCAUGAACAAGAGAUGCAUUCACUCCACAAUCUGAGGAGAGAGAAACAGAGACAGGCCAUUGCUAUGUGAAUUAAUGAACUGCUGGCAAUAAUUACAAUUAUAGUUGACAGUCGUGCUGCAGUGUUCUACGUACUAAUAAUGACACCAUAGACAACAUAUCAGAAGAAGAAUUAAAUCCUUCAGAAAGGAAGAAGAAAAAAGUGGGAAAAUCCUCUUGGACUGGUGGAUCUGAGCGAGGAAUGACUGCCAUGAAUGUGUUUUGUAAGAAUCCUUGUGCAAACCACUAACAGGAGAAUUCAAGUCAAAUUUUGACUAUUGGUAAGGGGUGCCUCUCAUAGCCCCAGACAGCAGCAUUUCCAGGUUUGGCAGGAACAUAUGAGACCUCACAGUCUCAUCCCU
rnacentral:lncRNA from 1 species